rnacentral:tRNA from 1 species
GCAGGGUUGAGGUCAGCGGUUAAAUUACCUUGGGCAUAGGUGAAAAAACAAGUCUUUAUGUUGACCCAUAAAGUACCUCCUGAAAAAAUUAACGCGAACAUUAUAUUAACACCUUAACCGUGGCGGUUCAAUUCCGCCGCCCUGCACCA